rnacentral:rRNA from 2 species
GUCUACGACCACACCAGGCUGAAAACACCGGAUCCCGUCCGAUCUCCGAAGUUAAGCAGCUUCGGGCCGAGGGAGACCACUUGGGAACCCCCGGUGUUGUGGACU